rfam:Simian immunodeficiency virus isolate SIVcpzTAN1, complete genome.
AAUCCAGAGGCAGGAAAAAAUAUUUAAUAAAACAUCUAGUAUGGGCCGGAAGCGAACUACAGCGUUUCGCGAUGAAUCCCGGUC